rnacentral:rRNA from 1 species
CUUGGUCAUUUAGAGGAAGUAAAAGUCGUAACAAGGUCUCCGUUGGUGAACCAGCGGAGGGAUCAUUACAAGAAGCCGAAAGGCUACUUAAAACCAUCGCGAACUAUUCCAAGUUGCUUCGGCGGUGCGGCUCUCCCCCCCGGGGGUCUGCCGCGUGCGCCGCCUCCUCCCCCGGGAGCUGGCGGGGCGCCCGCCGGAGGUCACAAACUCUCAUGUAUUACAGUGGAUCUCUGAGUGAAAAACAAAUAAGUUAAAACUUUCAACAACGGAUCUCUUGGUUCUGGCAUCGAUGAAGAACGCAGCGAAAUGCGAUAAGUAAUGUGAAUUGCAGAAUUCAGUGAAUCAUCGAAUCUUUGAACGCACAUUGCGCCCGCUAGUACUCUAGCGGGCAUGCCUGUUCGAGCGUCAUUUCAACCCUCAAGCCCUGCUUGGUGUUGGGGCCCCACGGCUGCCGUGGGCCCUGAAAGGAAGUGGCGGGCUCGCUACAACUCCGAGCGUAGUAAUUCAUUAUCUCGCUUAGGGCGUUGUGCGGUGCUCCUGCCGUUAAAGCACCCCUUUAACUCAAGGUGACCU